UGAGAAACCUGUCCCGGUCUCUGGAAUAACAGUCGGAAACGACUGCUAAUACCGGAUGCCGUCGGAGCGUCGCAUGGCGCGCUGACGAAAGGGCUACCGGAUCGGGAGGGUCUCGCGGCCUAUCAGCUUGUUGGUGAGGUAAUGGCUCACCAAGGCGACGACGGGUAGCCGGCCUGAGAGGGUGACCGGCCACACUGGGACUGAGACACGGCCCAGACUCCGUACGGGAGGCAGCAG
rnacentral:rRNA from 1 species